rnacentral:rRNA from 1 species
CAGUCGCCGCGGUAAUACGUAGGUCCCGAGCGUUGUCCGGAUUUAUUGGGCGUAAAGGGAGCGCAGGCGGUUUAGUAAGUCUGAAGUUAAAGGCAUUGGCUCAACCAAUGUAUGCUUUGGAAACUGUUAGACUUGAGUGCAGAAGGGGAGAGUGGAAUUCCAUGUGUAGCGGUGAAAUGCGUAGAUAUAUGGAGGAACACCGGUGGCGAAAGCGGCUUUCUGGACGAAAACUGACGCUGAGGCGCGAAAGCCAGGGGAGCGAACGGGAUUAGAUACCCAGGUAGUCCCUGUCUCUUAUACC